GCGAACUAGAAAAUCCCUCCCCCUCCCUUGCGACGACAGCGACUUCUCGUCGUCGCCACCGCCACCACACGCCGCCACUUGGGGCGGCACCGGUUCCGUUGGAACCACCACACUUCCUUCUUUCCGUUCCAACCUACCGCCACCUCGAUCUGCCGCUGCCGUCGCCGGAAACAGCCACGAAACGUAGCGGUUUUGACAGAUUUUUACCGAACUUUCGGCCUCUCGUUCUCUCUCAUUUCUCCACCAAAUUUGACGAGUAAGGUACUCCGACUACGCAUACACAGCAGGCGGGACCCUCUCAGGGUCAAGCAGCGUGGGACUACUUCCAGUAGUUGACUGAGCUCCGCAGCAGAGCCGGAUCGUGUGCUUCCGAGCU